UCCGACCACAUCACGUUAAAAAAACCGGUUCCUGUACGAUCGCUGAAGUUAAGCAGCGCCGAGACUGGUCAGUAUCUAGAUGGGUCACCGCUAGGGAACACCAGGUGCUGUAAG